GGUUGGUGUAUCAAAAAUACUAACAUCAAAAGCUAAUCUCCUUCAAGACAUACUGGCAACAGGACAGCCCGAGUUCAAAGCAGAGAAAAUUUGAGAGCCAAUACUAUGGAAGUCUCCAAACAAUAGAGAAAACCUCUUAUGAUAAUAUCAUUCGAGUUCAUAGAGACAUUGCAGUCAACCAACCAAGGGAAAACAAGAUUACUCGCGAUAUCAAAAAGGCGAUUCGUCGUUUAAUCAACGGAGAAAUAAGAAUUACACACUUUCUGAGCGCAGUGGCUCAUGGUGUCGAAAACAUUGUCAAUAGGCCACUGCCUCAGAAUGAGUGGUUCCUUCUUGAUAUUGCUGGAGAGGAUGAAGUGAUGUGAGAAGGUUGUCCGUAUCUCCAGAAGAGGUUGUAAAUAUUAGGUGGAUAGGAAAUAUUAUUAGGAUAGAUCUGUAAAUAUUAUAAUGUAUUAAUAUAUAAAUAAAUAAAUUGCAACUUGAAAAUUAUGUAGAAUA